rnacentral:rRNA from 1 species
CACGUAGGGCGCGAGCGUUUGUCCGGAAUUAUUGGGCGUAAAGAGCUCGUAGGCGGCCUGUUGCGUCCGCUGUGAAAGCCCGGGGCUUAACCCCGGGUCGGCAGUGGAUACGGGCAGGCUAGAGGUAGGUAGGGGAGAAUGGAAUUCCCGGUGUAGCGGUGAAAUGCGCAGAUAUCGGGAGGAACACCGGUGGCGAAGGCGGUUCUCUGGGCCUUACCUGACGCUGAGGAGCGAAAGCGUGGGGAGCGAACAGG